rnacentral:rRNA from 1 species
UAAAAGUGCUGCAAGGCACUGGUAGAGGAUGGACUUAUGGCGCAUUAGCUGGUUGGUGAGGUAACGGCUCACCAAGGCGACGAUGCGUAGCCGACCUGAGAGGGUGACCGGCCACACUGGGACUGAGACACGGCCCAGACUCCUACGGGAGGCAGCAGUAGGGAAUUUUCGGCAAUGGGGGGAACCCUGACCGAGCAACGCCGCGUGAAGGAAGAAGGAAUUCGUUCUGUAAACUUCUGUUAUAAAGGAAGAAAGACGGAUGGAGGAAAUGACAUCCGAGUGACGGUACUUUAUGAGAAAGCCACGGCUAACUACGUGCCAGCAGCCGCGGUAGUACGUAGGUGGCAAGCGUUAUCCGGAAUUAUUGGGCGUAAAGAGGGAGCAGGCGGCAGCAAAGGUCUGUGGUGAAAGACUGAAGCUUAACUUCAGUAAGCCAUAGAAACCGGGCAGCUAGAGUGCAGGAGAGGAUCGUGGAAUUCCAUGUGUAGCGGUGAAAUGCGUAGAUAUAUGGAGGAACACCAGUGGCGAAGGCGACGAUCUGGCCUGCAACUGACGCUCAGUCCCGAAAGCGUGGGGAGCAAAUAGGAUUAGAUACCCUAGUAGUCCACGCCGUAAACGAUGAGUACUAAGUGUUGGAAGUCAAAUUUCA